AUUAUGUUUUUGAUGACCUCCGUGGCGCAGUGGUAUGCGCGGUGGAUUUACAAGAAGGAGGUCCUGGGUUGGAUUCCCGACUGGGCUGAUUGAGGUUUUCUUAAUUGGACCAGGUCUGGCUGGUGGAAGGCUUCGGCCGUGGCUAGUUACCACCCUACCGGCAAAGACAUACCGCCGAUCGAUUUAGCGUUCCGGUACGAUGCCGUAACCGAAAGGGGUGUGGAUUUUCAUCCUCCUCCUUACAAGUUAGCCCGCAUCCAUCUAAGACUACAUCAUCACUUACCAUCAGGUGAGAUUGUAGUCAAGGGCUAACUUGUAAACAAUAAAAAAAAAAAUCUUAGAUUGCAUCAUCGCUUACCAUCAGGUGAAACUGAAAUCGAACGUCACGUCAUCUUUUAGUGAAUUAGAAGUUGUUGACCAUUUUUCAUGCCAUUGAACUACUUACUACACAAACCGGAAUGAUUAGGGAGUUUUUUCAGUAGACGAAAACGAUUACAACAAUGAAACAUCGAUACGAUAUAAGUAUACACGCGUUAGAUCGUUGAUUGAUUGAUAGAGAGGUAACGUCUUGCGAGGCAGGUCCUUCUAUAAUUAGUCCAAGAUAAUUAAUUAAUUGUAUGUGAAUCCGGGCUCAAAAGGGCUAGAACCCAGAGCCGUAAAGCUUAUUAUUAAAAAUAAAAUGUAUGUGAAUCGAAACGAAAAGUGUCGCCUAAAAGAACCUUUUUGAGUAGUGAUUAGAGGUGAGUCGUACUCGCUAAAACGCGUACUGAGUAUUACGAGUACGAGUACGCCGAGAGACGCGCUCCAAAGACUAGCUCCACGAGUAUUUAGAAGUACGAGCCAUUAGGACCUAUAGAAUAGAUACGUACUCCUAAAUACUCAGUGGCCAGCGAUUUUACAUCAUAUUAUCUGAUAUUAAGCGUACAUUAAUUUCAACCGAGUUCUACACAGUCAUUUGGACUAGUGGUAUGUACGCAAGGUACAAAAACAUUGAAUCCUGAGUUCGAUCCCGGGUAACAGAAAAUCAUUUUUGUCUUUUUAUUUUGUUUUUUUCAAUUGUUUUUUUCAACUAUUAAUUUCAAAAUUUCAAAUUAAUUUUAUUAUUUAGUUAUUUCUUUUAAUAUUACCUCAUGAUACUGUCGGGUUUACAUUAACUUGUUACUUUAGCGGAUAAAUAAUCAUACUAAAACAAAUAAACAUUAUGUUUUUAAAAUAAGGAUUAAAUCAGGGACUCCAAAUAUUGGAGUAUUAAGAGUAUUAAGUGUAUACUGCGUUAAAAAAUCGGUCUUAUGUUUGAUAAAGUAAAGACAAUUUUUCAUCGGCAAUGGGACGUCACUCACACAUUCUUAAACGAACGCGUCCGGGAACGCGUCUCGCGAUGUUUUGUCUGUUGGAGUAUGAAGUGUUUAUUGCGUUGAAAAACCGGUCUUAUGUCUAGACAACAAAGUCUAUUUUCUUUCGGCAUUGAUAGAAGUCUCUCACUCACACAUUACUAAUCGAACGCGUCUCUGAACACGUCCCCAGGGUUCCCAACUUAGGGGUUUUCCCCCCAGAUUUAGGGGGUAAAUAAGUGAAAUGGGAUUUUUUUAGGGGUCUGAAAUUUUUAGGGGUAUUUUCAGGGAUUUUUUGACUUUUUAAUAUUUUUAAAUUGAUGAUAAUUUUAAUAUUUCUUUCUUGGCCUAGCGACUUAUAACGACAUAUAAUACGUUAUUCUACAACCACUCUGAGGCAAUAGGGAUGAUGACAGUUUUUUAAUUUGUAUAUAAAUUAAGAUUAUGCUAAUAGUAAAGCAAUUUUGUAAAAGUAACAGGGUAUCUGCGAUCAUUACAUUCGGAGCUACAGGGAUUUAAAGGGUCAGAUUUGCGGCGCUGCCGCGGAUCCCUGAAAAACGCCCCAUACAAAAUGGCUUGAACUAAUGACGUCAUAGGCAAUGUAAUGAUCGUUAGAUUUGUAUGCGCGUUCAAACAAAAUUACUAAUACCUUUGUUAUAUGUGCGUUUAUGCUUAUAGUUCAUUUAUUAAAAAAUGUCACAUUUAAUGUAAGGAAGCUAAAACUGUAUGAAUUUUCAUCUAAUUACGAUAAAAUAUUUUUAAUAGAUUUUGAAAUUUUAUAAUCUCAUUUAUUUUGCAAAUAUCCAGACAAUCUUUGCUUUUUAUGUAUAAAUUAGUUAACAUUGACCAUAUUUACCCGAAUGUAUCAUAAAAAUCAAUAUAUUCAAACCUAGUCAUCAUCCCCAUUGGAUGCAAUUUUCAUCGAAUAAAAAAAAUUGGUAAAUUUAUUCAUUGUCAACAUGUAUGAUUUCAAAAAAUCUGAAUCUUCAGAUAAAGACGUAGUAUUUUGUCUGUAUUAAAUAUAGACCUUUAAAACAUAUGGCAGCAUAUUAUUUCUAAAUUAUUAUGAAUUUAUAUUUUUUAGGGGGACAACUCAAUAAUUAAGGCGAUUUUAGGGGUUUUUGACACCAACUUUAGGGAUAAAUAUUUUGGAGAGUUGGUAACACUGCACGUCCCGUAUUGGUUGGACCGUUAGAGUAUUUGCGAGUACUGGACUCGCACUCUGUUGACGUCUUGCGCUCCUCGGUACUCGGUACUUCUAAAUACGCUUAAUACGUGUAUAAGUCCCUGCUCCGUACUCGUACGCCAUACGUCUUCCAACAAACCUAGUGUUAAGACCUGCUCCAGUAUAUACGCCUCACCUCUAGUAGUGAUAUUGUUGUGUAAAAAGCCUAAAGUUGUGGACUUAUAGUUUGUAGCAAAGAUUACAGUGUAGUCUGUAGCAAGGAACAUAUUUACUCAGGAGAUUUCCACAUGCAUGCCAUAGAUAUUAAUUUAAGUAGUUUUUUUGACCACAUUUUGACAUAUUCAAAGUCAGUUUGACAUAUUAAUAGAAAAAAGUAAACAAAUUACAAAAUCCAAAAGUCAAAACAUUAAAAUCAAAAUAACCUCAAAUUAUGAGAUUGUGUAAUAAAAUGUAAUUGUAAUUAUUGUUUAUUAGAAAAUGUUGACUUCCACCCUACGAAAGACUUUAAUUUUAAUUAGUUCUAGAGGCUAUAAGAAUUUUGGUCACAAGAGACAACCAGAAGCUACAUUUACUGUUUUAUGGCAUGGACUUUUAACCUUUUCUUUCAUUGGCUUGGGAAUUGAAUGGAAAAAAAUUUCGAAAUACGUAUUUGGUAGUGAUGAAAAUACAAGCAUACCUACACCUAACAGUAUAGAGUAAGAAUGAUUUAGUUAUUUUUAAUGUUAUUAGAUUUUAAUAUUAAAUGUUACAUUUAGUUGACAUGUAA